AGGGGGCGCACGACAGACUCCGGCUGCGCCUCCGGGGCUCCCCUGGGAGCUGCGCGGGGCGGGGCAGGCGUCCCGGGAGCUCGGUCCCUGGCUCCGGCUGGGUUUCGGCCGGGAGACCAGGGCGCAGCUUGCUCGCCAACGUCGGGCGCCUCCUGCACCUCCGCCUGGGGCGCAUCCCCCGCUGCGCCCCGGGAGCGCCCCCAGAAGCCGCGCGGCUGCCCGUCACGUCUCUCCGGCCCCCCGGUCACCCCCAGUACUCCAGCGGCGGGGCCCCCGGCGGCUCGGAGCCCCCAGGCUCCUGUGAGCAGGGACUGGGAACGGCCUGGGAGGGAGGGGUCCGCGGAGAGGCGGGCGAGGAGCCGGGGCUGGGGGACGGAGGCGUGAGCGUGCACUGGUCUUUGUGCCGUCUCUCGGUGCCUCCGUACAUCCCUGUCGCUGUCGCAGCAGGGAAGGCCCAUAGGGUCCCCGCCGAGCACAAGCCGUCGCAAUUAGACAGGGAAAUCCUGCUGUGGAUCGGGCGUUUCACAACGAUGGAGGAGAUCCCGCCUCGGAUUCCGCCAGAAAUGAUAGAUGCUGCAAGUAACAAAGUGCAACUGAAAGCUUGUUACAUAAUGAUUGGACUCACAAUCAUCGCCUGCUUUGCAGUGAUAGCGUCAGCCAAAAGGAUUCUUUCAUCUGCUGAUCACUUUUUACCAUGAAGAGCAGCCCCACAAAUAUUGGGAGAUAUCUGAUACAUCUCUGUGAGUCAUCUGUUCUCUACUCUUAAUUUCUCCAUCCGUAACAGCUUUCCUCUAUUUUGAGCUCUCCUCUGGACACACUCCAGUUUAUCAGUGUCCCUCUUCAUUGUGAUACCUGCAACUGAGUCCCUUAGAGUGCGAUUAUAACCUCUUUGUUUUUGAACACUGCAUUUUAGUAACACAGCCAGAGUUGGAAAUAGAUUUUGGCAGCCACAUCACACAGAAUAGUUUGCCUGGAUCCAUCUUCACUCUCCAGGCACAUUUAGCCAAUGACCAUUCUGCCUAGACCUAUGGUCCUGCUCUUCUUUACUUCUCAGGUUUUCAAGGGUAUUUGAGCCCAAUAUUUCACACAGGGACUGGGUCUUCUGAGCUUACUGAUGUUAUAUACAUGUCUCCUCAUUUCUGUUGGCUCAGCAAAGAGCUUAUGCUUUGAAAUUAUUCUCAUCAAAUGGAAAAUUUCUUAAAUGUUUGCUGGGCUGAACACUUAAACAUAGAAAUAAAGAAACUCAGUCAUCUCUUGUUUUUAACCUAUCCUAGAUAAAAUGACUGUCUACCCAGUUGGUGAUUCUCUAGCUCCUAAAUGAGAGAUUGGAUUUUGAUACUACCUGGACCCUCCGUGUUUCAUACCAUCUUCCCUUGGUUCCUUAUGCUUCAGCCACACUAGUUCUUUUUUGUUUUUUAAGGUGUCAGACCCUUUAUUCUCUCUAGGCUUUCCUUCCUUCUCUUGGCCUUACUGUAGCUGACUCAUUCUCCUUCUCAGUGAGAGCUUCCACGACCACCCCAUCUGAAAUGGCCUUGCUCAGGCACUCACUAUUUUAUUAUCUUUCCAACUGCUCUUGAGUAAGUCGUUAUAUACCAGCAAUCCUGUUGACGCCACUUAAGACUAUAUGCACAAUUGGACCACUCCUCACCAUCUCUCUUGAUAUCACCCUGGUCUGAAAUAACCACCAUCUGUUGCCUAGUUUAUUGCAGUAUCUUUUAAAUGGUCUUACUCUGUCUCUCUUGCCUCUCUCCAAUUCACCUUUCAUUUUGAAUAAUUAAUGCAUGUACCCUAAAUAAGAUGGUGUCAUAUAGAGAUGGAGAAAUGGUUAGCAAUUUGAGAUGUAUUGGGGGGUCAAAAGGAUAGAAUUUUGUGGUAAAUUCAAUGUGGGAAGAGGAGAGAAAAAGGAAGAAUGACAUCAAAAAGCCUGGGGUCUUGCUUUGAGCACCUAGAUGGAUGGUGCUGCCAUUUGUUGAGAUGUCUAAGGCUGGGGAAAGAACUGAUAGGCAUGACAGGCAACAUAUGUCAAGUCCUCUAUUUCGGAUAUACUGAAUGUGAGAUGCAUAUUAGACUUCCAUCACUAUCUAUUUUUAUUUUUUCUGCUAAGGACUUUGUUCUUCAGUCUGAGGACCUAUAGCUUUCCUCACUUCUGAAAAAGUCUAAGCUGUUAUCACUUCAAAUAUGGCCUCUUUCCCCAUUCUGACUAUUCUUCCCACCUGUUAAAAAUAUAUGUUGGGGGGGAGACCUUCAAGAUGGUGGAGGAGUAAGACGUGGAGAUCACCUUCCUCCCCACAAAUACAUCAAAAAUACAUCUACAUGUGGAACGACUCCGACAGAGCACCUACUGAACGCUGGCAGAAGACCUCAGACCUCCCAAAAGGCAAGAAACUCCCCACGUACCUGCAUAGGGCAAAAGGAAAAACAGAGACAAAAGAAUAGGGAUGAGACCUGCACUUCUGGGAGGGAGCUGUGAAGGAGGAAAGGUUUCCACACACUUGGAAGCCCCUUCAUGGGCGGAGACAGGGCUUGGCUGGGUGGAAGCUUUGGAGCCACGGAGGAGAGCGCUGCAAUAGGGGUGCAGAGGGCAAAGUGGAGAGAUUCCCCACAGAGGAUUGGUGCCGACCAGCACUCACCAGCCUGAGAGGCUUGUCUGCUCACCCGCCAGGGCAGGUGGGGGCCAGGAGCUGAGGCUCGGGCUUCGAAGGUCAGAUCCCAGGGAGAGGACUGUGGUUGACUGCAUGAACACAGCCUGAAGGGGGCUAGUGCGCCACAGCUAGCCGGGAGGGAGUCUGGGAAAAACUCUGGAACUGCCUAAGAGGCAAGAGACCAUCGUUUUGGGGUGCACAAGGAGAGGGGAUUCAGAGCACCGCCUGAACGAGCUCCAGAGACGGGCGUGAGCCGUGGCUAUCAGCACAGACACCAGAGACGGGCAUGAGAUGCUAAGGCUGCUGCUGCAGCCACCAAGAAGCCUGUGUGUGAGCACAGGUCACUAUCCUAACCUCCCCUCCUGGGAGCCUGUGCAGCCUGCCACUGCCAGGGUCCCGUGAUCCACAGAAAACUUCUCCAGGAGACCACACCGUGUGCCUCAGGCUGGUGCAAGGUCACACUGGCCUCUGCCGCCACAGGCUCACCCCGCAUUCUGCACCCCUUCCUCCCCCCGGCCUGAGCGAGCCAGAACCCCCAAAUCAGCUGCUCCUUUAACCCCGUCCUUUCUGAGUGAAGAACAGGCGCCCUCAGGUGACCUACACACAGAGGCGGAGCCAAAUCCAAAGCUGAGCCCCUGGGAGCUGUGAGAACAAACAAGAGAAAAGGAAAUCUCUCCCAGCAGCCUCAGGGGCAGCAGAUUAAAUCUCCACAAUCAACUUCAUGUACCCUGCAUCUGUGGAAUACCUGAAUACACAAUGAAUCAUCCCAAAAUUGAGGUGGUGGACUUUGGGAGCAACUGUAGACUUGGGGAUUGCUUUCUGCAUCUAAUUUGUUUAUGGUUUUAUGUUUAUCUUAGUUUAGUAUUUAGAGCUUAUUAUCAUUGGUAGAUUUGUUUAUUGAUUUGGUUGCUCUCUUCCUUUUUGUUUUUAAUAUAUAUAUAUUUUUUUUUCCUUUUUCUCUUUUUGUGAGUGUAUAUGUGUAUGCUUCUUUGUGUGAUUUUGUCUGUAUAGCUUUGCUUUUGCCAUUUGUCCUAGGGUUCUCUCUGUCAUUAUUAUUAUUAUUUUGCAUAGUUUUUAGCACUUGUUAUCAUUGGUGGAUUUGGUUUUUGGUUUGGUUGCUCUCUUCUUUCUUUCUUUUUCAUUUUAAUAACUGUGUUUUAUUUUAUUUUUUCUUUCUUUCUUUUCUCCCUUUUCUUCUGAGCCAUGUGGCUGACAGGGUUUUGUGCUCCAGCUGGAUGUCAGGCCUGAGCCUCUGAGGUGAGAGAGCCGAGUUCAGGACAUUGGUCCACCAGAGACCUCCCAGCUCCAUGUAAUAUCAAAUGGCAAAAGCUCUCCCAGAGAUCUCCAUCUCAGCACUAAGAGCCAGAUCCACUCAACAACCAGCAAGCUACAGUGCUGGACACCCUAUGACAAACAACUAGCAAGACAGGAACACAACCCCACCCAUUAGCAGAGAGGCUGCCUAAAAUCAUAAUAAGUCCAAAGACACCCCAAAACACAACACCAGACGUGGACCUGCCCACCAGAAAGACAAGAUCCAGCCUCAUCCACAAGAACACAGGCACUAGUCCCCUCCACCAGGAAGCCUACACAACCCACUGAAACAAUUUUAGCCACUGGGGACAGACACCAAAUACAAUGGGAACUACGAAAAUACAGGAUGCAAAAAGGAGACACCAAACACAGUAACAUAAAAAGAAUGAGAAGACAGAAAAACACACAGCAGAUGAAGGAGCAAGAUAAAAACCCACCAAACCUAACAAAUGAAGAGGAAAUAGGCAGUCUACCUGAAAAAGAAUUCAGAAUAAUGAUAGUAAAGAUGAUCCAAAAUCUUGGAAAUAGAAUAGAGAAAAUGCAAGAAACAUCUAACAAGGACCUAGAAGAACUAAAGAUGAAACAAGCAACAAUGAACAACACAACAAAUGAAAUUAAAAAUACUCUAGAUGGGAUCAAUAGCAGAAUAACUGAGGCAGAAGAACGGAUAAGUGACCUGGAAUAUAAAAUAGUGGAAAUAACUACUGCAGAGCAG
rnacentral:lncRNA from 1 species